GUUUUUUUCUUGGUUCAAAAAAAAAAACUACAUUAAGUUAACAGAAUACAGCCCAUAGUAUUGACAGAUUCCACCUUGUUUCCAUGACUUGGAUUAAGAGAAUUAGUACAAAGAAUCUCCAUCUAAUUGAAAGCAACAGGACACAGCUUCAACAGUGAAUGUGAUAAUCAUCUCCAUCAUUCAAGCUUGACUACUGAUUCAUUAAUAGAUGGUAUCACAUGAAAUUCACAAUUGACUAUUGUGUAAGAUGUGUACUCUGCAUAAACAAUUUUUACAUCUUACUAGAGAUGUAUUUUUUGUCCCUUGUCAAGCUAGUCAGAUUCCAGGCAAAUCACUGAAAUUCAUAGACCAUUGGAUCC
rnacentral:misc_RNA from 1 species